AAACAGGAUUAGAUACCCUGGUAGUCCACGCCGUAAACGAUGUCGACUUGGAGGUUGUGCCCUUGAGGCGUGGCUUCCGGAGCUAACGCGUUAAGUCGACCGCCUGGGGAGUACGGCCGCAAGGUUAAAACUCAAAUGAAUUGACGGGGGCCCGCACAAGCGGUGGAGCAUGUGGUUUAAUUCGAUGCAACGCGAAGAACCUUACCUGGUCUUGACAUCCACGGAAGUUUUCAGAGAUGAGAAUGUGCCUUCGGGAACCGUGAGACAGGUGCUGCAUGGCUGUCGUCAGCUCGUGUUGUGAAAUGUUGGGUUAAGUCCCGCAACGAGCGCAACCCUUAUCCUUUGUUGCCAGCGGUCCGGCCGGGAACUCAAAGGAGACUGCCAGUGAUAAACUGGAGGAAGGUGGGGAUGACGUCAAGUCAUCAUGGCCCUUACGACCAGGGCUACACACGUGCUACAAUGGCGCAUACAAAGAGAAGCGACCUCGCGAGAGCAAGCGGACCUCAUAAAGUGCGUCGUAGUCCGGAUUGGAGUCUGCAACUCGACUCCAUGAAGUCGGAAUCGCUAGUAAUCGUGGAUCAGAAUGCCACGGUGAAUACGUUCCCGGGCCUUGUACACACCGCCCGUCACACCAUGGGAGUGGGUUGCAAAAGAAGUAGGUAGCUUAACCUUCGGGAGGGCGCUUACCACUUUGUGAUUCAUGACUGGGGUGAAGUCGUAACAAGGUAACCGUAGGGGAACCUGCGGUUGGAUCACCUCCUUACCUUAAAGAAGC
rnacentral:rRNA from 1 species